rnacentral:lncRNA from 1 species
CAUGCGUGCGUGUCGCGGAGGCUUCGUGGGCGUCCGUGCGUGUCGCCGCCGCCUUUGCGUGCAUGCGUGCGUGCGUGCGUGCCAUCGCCAACCCUAACCCACCCAAAACUCUCUUCCCCUUCCUCGUUUUUUUCUUGAAACGGUCAGCGCCACUCCAAAUUGUCAGCAUGAUGAUGAGCGCGAGGUUGCGGCGGCCAGCUUGCUCGCCCACGAGGCGGCGACAACACGCAUGUACGCCCGUAGCAACGGCGCGCACACACGCACGCCCACAAGGCGACGGCGACACAGAUGCACGCCUGCGAAGCCGCCGCGACACGCACGCAUGCCCAUGAGGCGGUGGCGGCCAGCCUACUCGCCCGCGCGGUCACAACGACACGUAUGCAUGCACGCCCACGAGGCAGCUGCGUGCAUCGCGUCGUGCGAACGACUACUCCGGUGCGGCGUGCACGAGGUCUUUCCCGUGUUUUCUUGUUAAGUCGCUGCAUGUGGGGUCGAAUGGAGAUGUGCGGUUGUGACCGGACAACCCCAAAUUAUCAUCAGAUUUGAGAUGAAUAUGAGACGUGUCGGUCAGGCCACACGUAUAUAUAGAGACGAAAUGAGGUCUAUGGUUGAGUCACUUUUUUUUUUUGAC